CCUACGGGUGGCAGCAGUGGGGAAUAUUGGGCAAUGGGCGCAAGCCUGACCCAGCAACGCCGCGUGAAGGAAGAAGGCUUUCGGGUUGUAAACUUCUUUUCUCAGGGACGAAGAAAGUGACGGUACCUGAGGAAUACGCCACGGCUAACUACGUGCCAGCAGCCGCGCUAAUACGUAGUGGGCCAGCGUUAUCCGGAUUUAAUGGGUGUAAAGGGCGUGUAGGCGGGAGCGCAAGUCAGAUGGGAAAACUCGGGGCUCAACCCUGGGCCUGCAUUUGAAACUGUGUUUCGUGAGUGCUGGAGAGGCAAUCGGAAUUCCGGGUGUAGCGGGGAAAUGCGUAGAUAUACGGAGGAACACCAGUGGCGAAGGCGGAUUGCUGGACAGUAACUGACGCUGAGGCGCGAAGGCGUGGGGAGCAAACAGGAUUAGAUACCCGAGUAGUC
rnacentral:rRNA from 1 species